rnacentral:rRNA from 1 species
UGGGGAAUAUUGCACAAUGGGCGCAAGCCUGAUGCAGCGACGCCGCGUGGGGGAUGACGGCCUUCGGGUUGUAAACUCCUUUCGCUAUCGACGAAGCCACCUUGGGUGGUGACGGUAGGUAGAUAAGAAGCACCGGCUAACUACGUGCCAGCAGCCGCGGUAAUACGUAGGGUGCAAGCGUUGUCCGGAAUUACUGGGCGUAAAGAGCUCGUAGGUGGUUUGUCGCGUCGUCUGUGGAAUCCCGGGGCUUAACUUCGGGCGUGCAGGCGAUACGGGCAUAACUUGAGUGCUGUAGGGGAGACUGGAAUUCCUGGUGUAGCGGUGAAAUGCGCAGAUAUCAGGAGGAACACCGAUGGCGAAGGCAGGUCUCUGGGCAGUAACUGACGCUGAGGAGCGAAAGCAUGGGUAGCGAACAGG